GGCCCAUGAUGUGACAUUUUGUAAGUGUCAUAUCCAUAUUUACCACCCUUGCCUGAGGCCU
rnacentral:snoRNA from 1 species